GACGGGGAAACACCCCUCGAAAAAGAAAAAAAAAAGAGGAGACGGGGAAACGAAGCCGCCAUUGCGGGAGGCGAGGGUUUCCUGCCGGUUGUCGGCUCCGUCUGAUGUCGGCGCCGCCUUCUCUCCCCUGAUCCCGUCACAGGAAACCCCACUGGAGCCUCUUCUGAUUUCAGCUCAAGUCUAGCACUCUGGAUAUCUGUUGAACCAUGAGGUCGCCAAACCAGCACGGCUGUGCCAUUUCAGUGGAAGAUCUCCCAGAGGCACUUCUUGGAGAGAUCAUCAAGCGGCUUCCCACAAGUGAUCUUAAUUCUCUUUCCCUUGUUUCCAAGCGGCUAUAUACUGUUGAGGCAGAGCUAAGGGAUGCUAUUUAUGUUGGCUGUGGUGUUUGCCCUGUGACAGUGGCCUUGGCAUCACUGUGCUCCCGGUUCCGAAAUUUGUGCAAAGUGGAGUUAAAUUACUCUGGUUGGACGCCCAACCAUGGGAUGCAGUUGGGAAACCAAGGCCUCCAUGUAUUUUCAUCUUGCUGCCCCUCGCUGACUGAUCUCACCUUAAGCUUCUGCUCAUACAUCGAUGACUCAGGUCUUGGUUUUCUGGCAUGCUUCAAAAAGCUGAUGUUCCUCAGGUUGAAAGCAUUCCAACAAAUAACUUCAGCUGGUCUUCUCUCGGUAGCUGUUGGUUGCAAGAGUCUAUCUGCUCUCCGCCUUAUGAGCUGCAAGAAUGUACAUUCUGUAGAGUGGCUGGAGUACCUUGGCAAGAGUGGAUCAUUGGAAGAACUCGUAGUAGUGAACUGUGCGAGGAUUCGUCAAUUCGACCUCCUAACAUUUGGUUCAGGAUUUAUGAAGGUCCAGAAGUUUGAGUUUCAGGAUAGCUGUUUGCCACACAGCUUUAUUAAGUUUGAUGGUCCUUCGUAUAUGGCAGGCAGCCAGUCUAGAUAUGACUUCUUGUUGAUUUCUUGAAGGAUUUGACUUUGGCACUGAUCACCACGGAAGAAGAAAUAGGACUUUGUUCUCUCCUGAGAAAGUGCAAAGCAUUAGAGAACCUUUCCCUUUAUUAUGUUCUUGGUGUGCAUGACAAUGACAUGAUUACGAUGGCCCAGAGCAACAGAAACCUUAGAAGCAUCUCACUUAUGCUGACACCUCAGCACUGUGAAGGUUAUGGUUACAGGACAGCAUUGACUGAUGACAGCCUGAAGGCCCUAGCCCUCUGGUGUCCUAUGCUUCAGUCUGUCGAGCUCACAUUUUUUGGAUGUGAACCUGAUUGGCCUGAAAUAGGUUUCACACAGGCGGACCUUGUGAUGCUAAUUUGGUCAUGUCCAAUUCGUGAUCUAAAGCUCGGUGGUGCCAACAUCUUUGAUGAUGAGGGGAUGAAGGCCCUCUCAUGUGCACGAUUCCUAGAAUCGCUCAAGCUUGUCUGUUGCUCUGCGAUAACUGAUGCCGGGAUGCACUUCCUUGCACGUAGCCCAUCUUUGAUCAAUCUCACGCUAGAGCUAUGUGAUGCUUUGACUGAUGAUGGAAUGGUCGAGGUUGUGCGCUCACGGAAGUUAGAGUCUCUGACUAUUGAAAAAUGUUCUCAGAUAUCUCUCAAAGCUGUGCAAGAGGCUGCCAAAACUGUUCACUACACUGAUGACUGCCCAGGCUUCAAGGAGUGGGUGGAGGGCUGUGUGUAUGGAUCUCAGGUGUGACCAUGCAUCUUGCUGUCUGAAUUCCCCACAAAAUUCUCAGUUCAUAUGGUGGAAAACUGUGCAUCAUAUUUCCCAACCUGCUUGACCUUCAUCCUGUCACUGCUUUUCAUUGCUGGAUAAUAUUAGGGUGCAAUGUUGAACUUUGGAUGUUUUGAAGGCAUCUGGCUAUUGAUAACCAUACUAGUAGUGUAUUUCUUGUGGUUUUCAUGUGUCUUGCGCUUUCGAAAUCAACAGGAAGUGGUCCCAAACUCCUAAUAUUCCCUGUUUACAUGCAGAUCUUAAGAGCACCUCUUUCAGCCA